rnacentral:rRNA from 1 species
ACGAACGCUGGCGGCGUGCUUAAUCCAUGCAAGUAGAACGCUGAAGAGAGGAGCUUGCUCUUCUUGGAUGAGUUGCGAACGGGUGAGUAACGCGUAGGUAACCUGCCUUGUAGCGGGGGAUAACUAUUGGAAACGAUAGCUAAUACCGCAUAACAAUGGAUGACACAUGUCAUUUAUUUGAAAGGGGCAAUUGCUCCACUACAAGAUGGACCUGCGUUGUAUUAGCUAGUAGGUGAGGUAAUGGCUCACCUAGGCGACGAUACAUAGCCGACCUGAGAGGGUGAUCGGCCACACUGGGACUGAGACACGGCCCAGACUCCUACGGGAGGCAGCAGUAGGGAAUCUUCGGCAAUGGGGGCAACCCUGACCGAGCAACGCCGCGUGAGUGAAGAAGGUUUUCGGAUCGUAAAGCUCUGUUGUAAGUCAAGAACGGGUGUGAGAGUGGAAAGUUCACACUGUGACGGUAGCUUACCAGAAAGGGACGGCUAACUACGUG